UGCUGCUGGAAAAUAGUUCCAACAUUUGCUGUGUGACAAACCAUAUGAAAGCUGUCUGCUUUUAAGAAAAGUUCGAUAAACAUUUAUGUUUGUGCAUUUUCCACUGAGCUUUUUCAAGUGUCUUUAAAAAAUUGAUUGAUAUUUAAAAGCGCAACUGAAAAACAUGGAGCUGACACUGUUGAUGUUGUGGACCGUUGCCAUAUUUGCUGGGAAAGGUUAUACAGAUGUCAUUAUCCAGCAGUGUCCCGAUGGGCAGCUAUACGUGGCUGAAUACAGUAAUGUCAGCUUAACCUGCGGUCCGUGCAGGGACAUAACAAGGUGGUAUGUUGAUGACAACAGCGGUGAAGACAGAAAGUACGUGGGUGAAUGUAUUGACACUCAAUACCUGCAACGUUGAUAAUUCAGCUGCUUUUUGCUUAAAUAUAAACACGAGAAACACACUGGGCUUUGACAGUGUCCUCGACAUUCUAGACUUCACAAGUAAUAAUAAAAGCUUCGUCUGCAAAUGUGACGAGUACGUCUCCAGCAUCUGUACCAAUGGUACUGGCUAUUAUGUACAAAGUAAUGAUUCAUGCAAGCUGCUCAUAAAAGAAAACAAAGAACCACCAUCGGAAAACAUGAAAGGAUGGAUCGUCGGUAGUGUGUUUGCUGCGGUAGUUGCUAUUGCUAUCAUCGGAACCUUUUUCACUUUCUACAUAAUUAAACGACGAAAAGGUUUGAUUGUCUACACCCUAAUUUUUUCAGUAUUACUUGUUUUAUAUUUGUAAUAACUCUUUUGGCAUGAUACAAACAUGAAAUUUUACAUUAGAAUAUAUUACACGAAGAGUUUCACAACCAUUUUAUCGUUUAUGUCACCACAAACUCCCUGUUGACUUUAUUCAAACUCUAUUCAUGUCACAUGUCAACACAUUUACAGGAUAUUUCAAUGUGGUAAAUUACGGAUUAUUUGAUUAUUUUAAAAAUUAUCCCGCGAGGUAAACUUCGGACAAUGGGUCAAAAUAUAUAAAAGUGUAUAUGACAAAUAAAAUGUAGACGUGUGCAUGGUUUUAUGGAGUUUUACUUUAAGUUUCUGAGCAAGUUUACCUGCAACAAAAGCUACAUUACUGUCAUCGUAAGUAUUUUUUUUCUUUCAAGAACAGUAGAUUUUACCAUUUGCUGGAUAUGUAAGUGAGGCAAUAAACGUUAACGAAUAUUUCAAAAGUAUUGAUAUAGUAGGCAUGAAAAUAUAAAGACUAGUAAUAAGAUAUUUGUGUAUAUAGUUUCCGUAAUCCCAUACACUA